GCGGCGGGCGGGGCGGGGGCACGGGGGGAGGAAUUGGCGGGGGAGCACCACAACGGGUGGAGCUUGCGGUUUAAUUGGAUUCAACGCCGGAAAUCUUACCGGGACCGACAGCAAUAUGAAGGCCAGGCUGAAGACUUUGCCGGAUUAGCUGAGAGGUGGUGCAUGGCCGUCGUCAGUUCGUACUGUGAAGCAUCCUGUUAAGUCAGGCAACGAGCGAGACCCACGCCCACAGUUGCCAGCGUACUCUCUGGAGUGACGGGUACACUGUGGGGACCGCCGCUGCUAAAGCGGAGGAAGGAAUGGGCAACGGUAGGUCAGUAUGCCCCGAAUAUCCCGGGCUACACGCGAGCUACAAUGGUUGGUACAAUGGGUAUCUACCCCGAAAGGGGACGGGAAUCUCCUAAAACCAAUCUUAGUUCGGAUUGAGGGCUGCAACUCGCCCUCAUGAAGCUGGAAUCCGUAGUAAUCGCGUUUCAACAGAACGCGGUGAAUACGUCCCUGCUCCUUGCACACACCGCCCGUAG
rnacentral:rRNA from 1 species